UACGAGGGUGCAAGCGUUACUCGGAAUUACUGGGCGUAAAGCGUGCGUAGGUGGUGAGUUAAGUCUGUCGUGAAAGCCCCGGGCUCAACCUGGGAAUGGCGAUGGAUACUGGCUCGCUAGAGUGCGGUAGAGGAGAGUGGAAUUCCCGGUGUAGCAGUGAAAUGCGCAGAUAUCAGGAGGAACACCGGUGGCGAAGGCGGUUCUCUGGGCAUGAUCUGACGCUGAGGAGCGAAAGUGUGGGGAGCGAACAGG
rnacentral:rRNA from 1 species